UACAGAGGGUGCGAGCGUUGUCCGGAAUCACUGGGCGUAAAGGGCGCGUAGGUGGCUCUAUAAGUCGGGGGUGAAAUGCUGCGGCUCAACCGCAGCGCUGCCUCCGAGACUGUAGGGCUCGAGCACGGUAGAGGCCGAUGGAAUUCCCGGUGUAGCGGUGGAAUGCGUAGAGAUCGGGAAGAACACCAAUGGCGAAGGCGGCUACCUGGACCAGCACUGACACUGAGGCACGAAAGCGUGGGGAGCAAACAGG
rnacentral:rRNA from 1 species